rnacentral:rRNA from 1 species
UACGUAGGGGGCAAGCGUUAUCCGGAAUUACUGGGCGUAAAGGGUGCGUAGGUGGCCUGACAAGUCAGGGGUCAAAGGCAACGGCUCAACCGUUGUAAGCCCUUGAAACUGUCGGGCUUGAGUUCAGGAGAGGAAAGCGGAAUUCCUAGUGUAGCGGUGAAAUGCGUAGAUAUUAGGAGGAACACCAGUGGCGAAGGCGGCUUUCUGGACUGAUACUGACACUGAGGCACGAAAGCGUGGGGAGCAAACAGG